rnacentral:rRNA from 1 species
AGAGUUUGAUCAUGGCUCAGGAUGAACGCUGGCGGCGUGCUUAACACAUGCAAGUCGAGCGAAGCAAUUUAGCGGAAAGUUUUCGGAUGGAAGUUAGAUUGACUGAGUGGCGGACGGGUGAGUAACGCGUGGGUAACCUGCCUCACACUGGGGGACAACAGUUAGAAAUGUCUGCUAAUACCGCAUAAGCGCACAGGACCGCAUGGUCCGGUGUGAAAAACUCCGGUGGUGUGAGAUGGACCCGCGUUUGAUUAGCUAGUUGGUGGGGUAACGGCCUACCAAGGCNACGAUCAAUAGCCGACCUGAGAGGGUGACCGGCCACAUUGGGACUGAGACACGGCCCAAACUCCUACGGGAGGCAGCAGUGGGGAAUAUUGCACAAUGGGGGAAACCCUGAUGCAGCGACGCCGCGUGAGUGAAGAAGUAUUUCGGUAUGUAAAGCUCUAUCAGCAGGGAAGAAAAUGNCGGUACCUGAAAAAAGCCCCGGCUAACUACGGCCAGCAGCCGCGGUAAUACGUAGGGGCAAGCGUUAUCCGGAUUUACUGGGUGUAAAGGAAGCGUANACGGUAAAGCAAGUNUGAAGUGAAAGCCCGGGGCUCAACCCCGGGCUGCUUUGGAAACUUGUUUAACUAGAGUGCUGGAGAGGUAAGCGGAAUUCCUAGUGUAGCGGUGAAAUGCGUAGAUAUUAGGAGGAACACCAGUGGCGAAGGCGGCUUACUGGACAGUAACUGACGUUGAGGCUCGAAAGCGUGGGGAGCAAACAGGAUUAGAUACCCUGGUAGUCCACGCCGUAAACNAUGAAUACUAGGUGUUGGGGGACAAAGUCCUUCGGUGCCGUCGCAAACGCAAUAAGUAUUCCACCUGGGGAGUACGUUCGCAAGAAUGAAACUCAAAGGAAUUGACGGGGACCCGCACAAACGGUGGAGCAUGUGGUUUAAUUCGAAGCAACGCGAAGAACCUUACCAAAUCUUGACAUCCCUCUGACCGGCGAGUAAUGUCGCCUUUCCUUCAGGGACAGAGGAGACAGGUGGUGCAUGGUUGCCCGNCAGCUCGNGUCGNGAGAUGUUGGGUUAAGUCCCGCAACGAGCGCAACCCUUAUCCUAAGUAGCCAGCAGUUCGGCUGGGCACUCUUGGGAGACUGCCAGGGAUAACCUGGAGGAAGGUGGGGAUGACGUCAAAUCAUCAUGCCCCUUAUGAUUNGGGCUACACACGUGCUACAAUGGCGUAAACAAAGAGAAGCGAGACCGCGAGGUGGAGCAAAUCUCAAAAAUAACCGUCUCAGUUCGGACUGCAGGCUGCAACUCGCCUGCACGAAGCUGGAAUCGCUAGUAAUCGCGAAUCACAAUGGC